AUUGAACGCUGGCGGUAUGCUUUACACAUGCAAGUCGGACGGCAGCGCGGGGCAACCUGGCGGCGAGUGGCGAACGGGUGAGUAACAUAUCGGAACAUGUCCGGAAAUGGGGGAUAACGUAGCGAAAGUUACGCUAAUACCGCAUAUGCCCCGAGGGGGAAAGGUGGGGAUCGCAAGAUCUACCGUUUUCGGAGUGGCCGAUAGCGGAUUAGCUAGUAGGCGGGGUAAAGGCCCACCUAGGCGACGAUCCGUAGCUGGUCUGAGAGGACGACCAGCCACACUGGGACUGAGACACGGCCCAGACUCCUACGGGAGGCAGCAGUGGGGAAUUUUGGACAAUGGGCGCAAGCCUGAUCCAGCCAUACCGCGUGAGUGAAGAAGGCCUUCGGGUUGUAAAGCUCUUUCGGCAGGAAAGAAAUCGCCGCCUCUAACAUAGGCGGCGGAUGACGGUACCUGAAGAAGAAGCACCGGCUAACUACGUGCCAGCAGCCGCCGUAAGAC
rnacentral:rRNA from 1 species